GUGAAUCAUCGAAUCUUUGAACGCACAUUGCGCCCCUCGGUAUUCCGGAG
rnacentral:rRNA from 1 species